rnacentral:lncRNA from 1 species
CUGUAUCUGGGCCCUUGAGCUGCUGCUUGGCCCGCUCCCACACUGUUGAGUGUACUUUCAUUUUUAAUAAACCCUUGCUUUUGUUCUUUCAUUGCUCCAUUUUUCCCUUGCUUUUCUGUGUGUUUUCUCCAAUUCUUUGUUCAAAAACGCCAAGAACCUAGACAACUUUCAGUCAAAACCCUCUACUGGUAACAUAUUUUGGCAAGCCAGCCAGGAGAGAAGAUCCCUACCUGUGUCUGGGUUGGCAGCAGCAGCAGCUCAUCCAGGGCAAACUCACACGUUUCAGUACAAGGAUUAGAUUGGGUACAUCUUUCAAGGAUCAAGCCAGCAAUACCAGAAGAUCCGGACCAGGAACCUGAAGUUUCCAUCAGCCACUACACCUGUGAACCUGUGGAAGCCCUGAAGUUCCUGUUUAAAAGACAGCCAAAAGAUGAGUAAAUGCCUACCAAUUUUCCUUGGUGCCUUUGUUGCAUAAUUACCGUAGGCUGGAUAAUAGUAGUCAUUUAUUUUAUUUUUGCAGUUUAAUUGCCUUCUUCCAAAUGGAUAGAAUCACUUCCUUUGUAGUAAUUAAGUUGAAUGUUUUAAUACAUUUUUAUAACAAACAUUCCUGACAGCAUAGGUAUCCACACCCAAAGUUCCCAUUAAGUCUUUUAACCGAAUUCAUUUCCUCUCGCAUAGAGACUAUCAAGCCUCAGAUGAUCAUGCAACAAGGUUUCCAGCCAGUUCCAAGUGAAGACACCACCCCUGGCCAUCAAGAAGCCACCCUAUCUUCACUAGACAGAGUAGGGAGAGAGUUCCAUGAUCUCCAACAGAUAAGGACUACUCCCAAGUCAGCAUGAAGCAGUUACAGAAGAAAGUCCAUCAGUCCCUCUGCCUCCCAUAAAGAUUUAUGGGGAUCACGUCUCUCAGGGAUGAGAUGAGGCAGGAGAACAGGUCUGGAGGAAGGGAACCUAAGGUUGUUUCACAAUGACUUCCUAGAACUAAACUGAAACGAAAACCCUAACUUUCCACACCUAAGUAACAAAAGGACCAGAGACUACUGCCUUUGCAAACCCUCACCUUGUCUGCACAGCAGAUGGGAAAUUAAAAGUGCCUCUGAUUGGUUGGUGUUUUUUUUUUUUUUUUUUUUUGAGUUGGAGUCUUGCUCUGUUACACAGCCUGGAGUGCAAUGGCACACUCUCAGAUCACUGCAGCCUCUGCCUCUCGGUUUCAAGCAAUUCUGCCUCAGCCCCCCGAGUAGCUGGAAUUACAGGCACCUGCCACCACAGCUGUCUAAUUUUUAAAAUAUUUUCAGUAGAGACGGGUUUCGCCAUGUUGGCCAGGCUGGUCUCAAACUCUUGGCCUCAGGAGAUCCGCCCGUCUCCAGCCUCCCAAAGUGCUUGAGCCACUGUGCCUAGCCAACUGGUUGCUUUAUGCAGCCAAUCAGAUGUUUGCACAGGAGUGUGACCUUUGACAUUUCAGCCUCCUAUUGGUUGCUUUCUGCAACCGAUCAGACUGAUUGUGGGCCAACACUUCAUUUACAUGAAGGGAGCACCAAGUAGCCAAUAGGAAACCUCUAGAGGGUAUCUGGACCCCAGAAGAUUCUGUAUCAGGGGCCCUUGAGCUGCUGCUCAGGCUGCUCCCACACUGUGGAGUGUAUUUUCAUUUUCAAUAAAUCCCCACUUUCAUUCUUUUUUUUUUUUUGAGACGGAUGCUCUCUCUGUUGCCCAGCCUGGAGUGCAGUGGCGCCAUCUCUGCUCACUGCAACCUCCACCUCCUGGGUUCAAGCGAUUCUCCUGCCUCAGCCUCCUAAGUCGCUGGGAUUAUAGGCAUUCACCACCACGCCUGGCUAAUUUUUUGUAAUUUUUAGUGGAGAUGGGGUUUUGCCAAGUUGGCCAGGCUGGCCUUGAACUCCUGACCUCAGGUGAUCCACCCGCUUAGCCUCCCAAAGUGCUGGGAUUACAGGCUGGAGCCACUGUGCCUGGAUGCAUUCUUUCAUUGCUUCAUUCUUUUCUUGCUUUGCUGUGCGUUUUGUUCAUUUCUUUGUUCAAAAUGCCAAGAAUCUGGACAACUUGCAGUCAAGACCCUCUACCAGUAACACAACCUCUUCAUGAGAUCCAUGAGGAAGAGGACUUGCCCAGUGGUACACAGAAGAAGUGAAACUAGACAUCACUUCUCCUAAGGCUGAACCUACAGAUUAUAUGAGAGAUGGCCAUGUGGCUCUGCUCCAGGUGGACAUGGGUGACAGAUGCCGCUGUGGCUCUGCUCCUUGGUGGAUGUGGGUGAGAGAUGCUCAUGUAGCUCUGCUCCUUGGUACAUGUGUAGAUGAGAGAUGCCCACGUGGCUCUGGUCCUUGGUGGGUGUGUAGGUGAUGGAUGCCCCUGUGGCUGCGCUCCUUGGUACAUGUGGGUGAGAGACACCCCUGUGGCUCUGCUUCUUGGUGGAUGUGGGUGAGAGAUGCCCCUGUGGCUCUGCUCCUUGGUGGAGGUUUGUGUGGUUGCUCAAGGUAACCACAAUGCCAGCAUGGUAUGCCCUGCAGCAUCACUGGAAAAUAGGAAGGGGCUGCAUAGACCCUUCCAGCAUCAUUCCUUGUCUAUCUUUCUAGCAACCAAGUCCCCUCAACCCCAUUACCCACCUCCUUUUGACUCCUACAGACACACUCCACCAUAAUACAAGAGGUCAACACCCUUAGUCAGUGAAAGGUUAACUCUCCCAGCCACCUCAGUGGCAUAUUCCUUUCAGAUGAGAGUACCUGGCAUCUCCACAUAAAGGAAUUUGGAUGAAAUUCUGGAAGGUCACAGACACAGUGACUGGAAACCAAACCAUAAACAAGAUGGAAGAAGGGAAGGGACAUGUUCCCAAUCAGGUAGACCCCGGCUUGCACCCUGGCCCUGCCACCUCCUGCUGAGAGAACCUCGGCAGGGCCUUAACCUCUCUGGCCUCAGUUUUCUCAUUUGCAAAAUGAAGAUUCAAGAUGAUAAUAAUGAAACUACCUCUCAGUGAAAAACUAUUCACUCAUUGACUAAUCGAUUCAACUACUGAACAAGAUAAAGGCCCUGCCCCUGCCCCCACAGGCACACCCCAUCCGCCUAUGACUAGAGUAAAGGGCAAUCAGCAAAGAAAGAAAUAAACAAGAUGAUAGCAUCAAGUAAUAAUACUAGAUGACAAAAAAAAUCAGGUUAUGGUAACACAAAUUGGGGUGGGUUGCCUUUAGGGGUCUGAUAAGAACUCUCUGAGGAGGUGGGCUUUGACUCUCCCCGGGAGAAACGAGAAACACUUGGGGAAAGAGCCAAUGGAAAAAUUAAACAUGGUCAAGACCAUCAGGCCAUGCUUCCCAGCCGGGGCCUCACAUUGCAGUCCUCUGUGAGCUUUUAAAAAUCCCAACCCCCAGGCCACACUCUAGACAUCUAAAUCUCUCGAGAUGGGACCUAACCAUUGGUACUUAAAAAAAAAACAAAAACCCAGGUGACUAAGAUGUGCAGCCAAGGUUGACAUACAGUGAUGUAAAGUAUCUGACGUACAUAUAAUAAGUGCACACAUACAUAGAAGUGACAAUUAUUAAAGCAAGGCCUCUGUCCUUGAAGAACUCACCUUCUAAGAGUGAUUGGUUAGAAUACUGGAAAUUAGGCUGGGUGCAGUGGCUCAUGCCUGUAAUCCCAGCACUUUAGGGGGCAGAGGUGGGUGCUUGCUUACUUGAGCCCAGGAGUUUGAGACCAGCCUGGGAAACAUGGUGAGAUCCCAUCUCUACAAAAAAUACCAAAUAUUAUCCGGCGCACAUCUGUAGUUCAAGCUACUCAGGAGGCUGAGAUGGGAGGACUGCCAUAGCCCAGGAGGUGGAGGUUGCAGUGAGCUGUGAUCGCGCCACUGCACUUCAGCCUGGGCGACAGAGCGAGACCCUGUCUCAAAAAAAAAAGUAAAAUAAAAACUAGAAAUUAUUACCAGCUUACUAUUAACGGCAAGGAUCUGGGCCUUGAAAUAAUAUGGCCCAGUACAACCUACCAGUCUUGCUUGUGUGUGGUGGGUAUGGGUGUUGUUGGGGACCAGCCAUGUAUCUAAAGCCUGGGGUGUGUGUGUGUGUGUGUGUGCCCUGAGUGUUAAAAGUGCAUAUGAGGCAGGAGAAUAGGGCCUGGAGGCAGGGAACCUAAAGACUUCCCAGAACUCGAUCAAACUGAAACACUUUAGCUAUGACAAGAAAUAUCCUCUUUAUUUACAUGGUAAAUGACUUUGUAACUUUACUUCGUCCUCUUCAUUUACAUAGAGUGUACACCAAGUAAAUAACUUUGUAACUUCAGUUUAACCUCCUCAUUCUAGCCAUACACCACAUAACCAAUGGAAACCUCUAGAGGGUAUUUAAACCCCAGAAAAUUCUGUAACCGGGCCCUUGAGCCGCUUGCUUGGGCCCCCUCCCA